rfam:Gossypium raimondii chromosome 11, whole genome shotgun sequence.
AACCCAUGAUGAGGGCACCUUCUUAAUAAAUCAUUGACUCUCUCCCAUGCAUUAUAUAAUGUCUUUAAAUCAAUCUGGACAAAGGAAGAAAUGCCAUUCCUCAACUU